CGAAAGCUUGCUACUUCAUCACAAGCUAUAGGUAAAGCCAAAGGCCUGCUACAACUUAAGCCUAAAUUACAAUUUGACCCACAGCUAAAAUGAUAAUGGGAUAAGCUACAAGCACUCAUAUUCUGGGCCCGUGCAUAAUAAUUCCCCCUCUCCUCAAUCUUACCCCACGAUAAGAUCAUAUUACACUUCAUCAUCUCCUCCUUCACCCAAGAAGCUCCAACCACUCGGAAUGAAUCCUUUUGCUCCCACCCUAAACGAUAGUUAUGUGCUAGCCUCCUAUGAAAUGUCAAAUAGGCCGAAAUACUAAGAGUUUGGGCUGAAGUAC
rnacentral:lncRNA from 1 species